ACUCAGCUUCUAGAACUAACAGAGACUGACUUGAGCUAGGGUGAGCACCUGCCCCAGGGCGUUGGGGUUCAGGGGUCCUAGAUGAGAGACCAUCCACGCUAAAGCCAGGACCACCCCCGGCAAGCAAGAUGGAGACAUGAUCGCCCACAAGGAAGCUGAUGUUUCUAAAAGUCCAGAGAGGCAGAGACAAGGAGAGAGAAGGGAAGAGAGAGAGAGAGAAUCUGCUGCUUCAGUCCCCAAAUGUCCACAAUGGCCAAGAUUGGACCAAGGCAAACUGGAACUGGAAACUCAACCCAGGUCUCCCAGAGACAAGAAAGAGAUCUUCCAUCCACUGGCAGACUUCCCAAAUGCCCACCAGAGCUGGUCCUGAACCAGGCGGAAGCCAGGGACUCGGAACUCAAUCUGGGUUUCCCACGACCUCAGCCCUCACCUACUGCCUCCAGGGUGCCCAUCAGCCAAAAGCUGGAAUCAAAAACAGAGCUGGAACUCAGCCUCAGCUGAGUACUCCGAUAAGGGAUGCGAGCACCCCAAGCAGUUCUUCACUGGUGCACCGAACGCCUAACCCUGAACCGAUCUUUUAAUUCCAUUGUUCUAGAAACUUCUUGAAGCCCCCUUGUACAUUCUGUAGACAACUGUCAGCAUUCACAUAUAUACACAACUGCAUGCAUUUGAUGAGAUUCAUCAAGCUGUGAGCAAAAACUAGAUGCUCUUAAUAAGUCUUCAACAAAGUGGCAGAAGGUGCCAUUAGGGAUAUAAAAACGCCAUGAAGAAGUGUCACUCAGCAGUCCCCAGGGACCCAGGCUCCUCCUGGGCAUGGGUUCAUCUUGCUGCUUGAUCACCAUUCCUAGUACCACUGCCUCAGCUCCAGCCAUCACUCUGUACCCCAGACCCCAGGGAAGACAAAGUAGGGAGAAAAGCGUUUCCCCUCCCUGUAAGGACGCUCCCUGGCACGUGCACACACCUGAGGCCUGGCUGUACGGGACGUGAAGGACGUAGCCGUAUUCCCAGCUGAAACCCUGUCACUACGGAAGGUCAGAGACUGGGAGACCCCGCCUCUGCGCUCCUCACAGUCAGCUCAACAGCAGUCUAGCACAGCACUGAGUACCGAGGACACAGGACCCUGGAGGGAGCAUCUCAUUUAGUAGCCAUAGACAGCCCUUUCUACCUUUCCCAAUCUUAAAAAAAAAGGGGGGGUCUCUUGAGCCCCUAAGUGAGGGCAGCAUCCUCCCUUGUCUCGCGUGGUGCAGUGGAAAGACCACGCCAGACUUGGGUCGUGGGCCACACACUGCACUUAUCCCCCAAAGGCCAGCAGGUCUGUUGCUUCUCCAGGCCCCAGCUCCCUGAUCCUGGUGACGAUGUGGUAAUUAACCCACCACCCAGGCCCGAUGGCAGCAACAAAUCGAUGCCCUGUGACGUUGGAAAGGGAAUGGCCACAGUAGGUGCUCGAGAAAGGAGACGUAGGAGUCCUCCCCCUCCUGAGCUGCCAGGGCUCUCAUGGGCAUUAGCUCUGGCCAGGGACACUGGAAAUGAGGGGACUUUGAAGGGAUGAGCCAGGGCCUCCGUGGGAUCCUAAGUCUUGCCUAGCUAACGCCGCAGGGCUCUGCACACCAGGAGAGCAUCUUAGAGCAGAGAAGCCAGUGUUGAGUGGCAGAGCAGCCUGGCUGUGUGGCAUCAGCUCCAAGGUCAGGGUGCAUGGCGGCCGGAAUGGGGUACUUGGCAGUCGUGGGCAUGUCCUAGGUUCACUCUCUGCAGGCUCCAGGUCGGGAGUGAGUCUCUUGGUUCAUCUUUUCCACGUUUCAGGAUGAAGAGUCUACAAGGACUUUGACUCUUUUGCCUAUGAGUAAG